UCCGACAAAGGGCAAACUUGCCGAAAGGUAAGGACGCAAAGCCGAGGGUCUAAAGUGCGAGAGCAUUAUGACAGUCUGGCUGCCGUA
rfam:Clostridium saccharolyticum WM1, complete genome.